AGCGAACGCUGGCGGCAGGCCUAACACAUGCAAGUCGAACGGAUCCUUCGGGAUUAGUGGCGGACGGGUGAGAAACACGUGGGAACGUGCCCUUUGGUUCGGAACAACUCAGGGAAACUUGAGCUAAUACCGGAUGUGCCCUUCGGGGGAAAGAUUUAUCGCCAUUGGAGCGGCCCGCGUCUGAUUAGCUAGUUGGUGAGGUAAAGGCUCACCAAGGCGACGAUCAGUAGCUGGUCUGAGAGGAUGAUCAGCCACAUUGGGACUGAGACACGGCCCAAACUCCUACGGGAGGCAGCAGUGGGGAAUCUUGCGCAAUGGGCGAAAGCCUGACGCAGCCAUGCCGCGUGAAUGAUGGAGGUCUUAGGAUUGUAAAAUUCUUUCACCGGGGACGAUGAUGACGGUACCCGGAGAAGAAGCCCCGGCUAACUUCGUGCCAGCCGCCGCAGUAAGAC
rnacentral:rRNA from 1 species